rnacentral:rRNA from 1 species
UACGUAGGGUGCAAGCGUUGUCCGGAAUUAUUGGGCGUAAAGAGCUCGUAGGCGGUCUGUCACGUCGGCUGUGAAAACCCGAGGCUCAACCUCGGGCCUGCAGUCGAUACGGGCAAACUAGAGUACUGCAGGGGAGACUGGAAUUCCUGGUGUAGCGGUGAAAUGCGCAGAUAUCAGGAGGAACACCGGUGGCGAGGGCGGGUCUCUGGGCAACAACUGACGCUGAGGAGCGAAAGCGUGGGGAGCGAACAGG